ACAAAUGUAAACAGAGCUGAAACUCAGGCCUCAUGUCUCCUGCCGCUCUGUUUUAUUGUUUGUUUUGUUUUGUUUGAGGCAGAAUCUUACUAUGUAGUCCAGGCGGACCCUGAACAUGUGAUUUCCCUGCCUCAGCUUCCCAAACAUUGGGAAGAUAGACUUGUGCCACCAUGCCUGGCUAGUGCUCCACUUCAUUGCUGGAACUUACAGAUAUUCAGACAUUUUUAAAAAAUAUGGUAGUAUUUUUUAUUUUUGAAUUGUGAGGCUCUAACGGACACAAAAGGAAGAAGAGGACCAUUGAUACCCAAGUUGGGUCUUAAAAACUAUGCCUGAGUUUUGUAGGCAGAGAAGAAUAAGCAGGCAGGAAAAGCACGCCAAGCAGAGGGAACAGCAUAAAAACAAAAGCAGAAAGGAAUUCAUGUGCUGGUUGUGUUUCAGGAGGCUGGGAUGGAGAAGAAGCAGGAACUGGAGCUAAAAGCCCAGGCUGUUGGUAUUGGCUCUUUUUCCUUUGGUGAAGACCCUUACAACUCUGCCUCCCUGUGGAUCAUCCCUGCCUACACAGCUACUCAGCUCUCUGGGAGGAGUACAACUCUACAAACAAAUGGCUUUUAAGAGGUUAUGCAGCUCCUGCCUGUUUUGUUUUGAGGAGGAAAACUACUUCACAGCUUGUUUUGAGGAGGAAAACUACUUCACAGCCAGGCACCUUCCACACUGGCCGCCCUACUCCCAGGAACCUCUCUCUUCUUACCCACAGAGUGGGCACAAAUGGUCUUUGAAAGAGUUUUGGCCCAGGCCGGACACUGUAGCUGGAAAAGCCUCAGCCGGAAGCGAGGAGCCCCUAUCCCCCCCACCCCUAGGAGUUUACCUAUGGCUCUAUCUUCCCCACCCCUAGGAAUUUACUUAUGGCGCCAAAAGUAUACCAAUGGGCUACUUGUGCAUCCCUAAUGCCCCUCAGGUACCACCCCUAACCUAAGCUACAUAUAUGCCCCCUCUCCACGUGUUCCACGGAGAGAUCGCCGACCCUGGGGGGAGAUGCUGCGCCCCAGGGGAUCGGGGGUGUCUCUCCCUGCAUUCUCAAAAUAAAGGUCAUUUAUAUUUCAUACUUUUCA